rnacentral:rRNA from 1 species
GGGACACGUGGUAUCCUGUCUGAAUAUGGGGGGACCAUCCUCCAAGGCUAAAUACUCCUGACUGACCGAUAGUGAACCAGUACCGUGAGGGAAAGGCGAAAAGAACCCCGGCGAGGGGAGUGAAAAAGAACCUGAAACCGUGUACGUACAAGCAGUGGGAGCACGCUUAGGCGUGUGACUGCGUACCUUUUGUAUAAUGGGUCAGCGACUUAUAUUCUGUAGCAAGGUUAACCGAAUAGGGGAGCCGAAGGGAAACCGAGUCUUAACUGGGCGUUAAGUUGCAGGGUAUAGACCCGAAACCCGGUGAUCUAGCCAUGGGCAGGUUGAAGGUUGGGUAACACUAACUGGAGGACCGAACCGACUAAUGUUGAAAAAUUAGCGGAUGACUUGUGGCUGGGGGUGAAAGGCCAAUCAAACCGGGAGAUAGCUGGUUCUCCCCGAAAGCUAUUUAGGUAGCGCCUCGUGAAUUCAUCUCCGGGGGUAGAGCACUGUUUCGGCAAGGGGGUCAUCCCGACUUACCAACCCGAUGCAAACUGCGAAUACCGGAGAAUGUUAUCACGGGAGACACACGGCGGGUGCUAACGUCCGUCGUGAAGAGGGAAACAACCCAGACCGCCAGCUAAGGUCCCAAAGUCAUGGUUAAGUGGGAAACGAUGUGGGAAGGCCCAGACAGCCAGGAUGUUGGCUUAGAAGCAGCCAUCAUUUAAAGAAAGCGUAAUAGCUCACUGGUCGAGUCGGCCUGCGCGGAAGAUGUAACGGGGCUAAACCAUGCACCGAAGCUGCGGCAGCGACGCUGAUGCGUUGUUGGGUAGGGGAGCGUUCUGUAAGCCUG